AGCUCAGACAGAUCCAGCUCAGACAGAUCCAGCUCAGAGAGGCCCAGCUCAGACAGAUCCAGCUCAGAGAGGCCCAGCUCAGAGAGGCCCAGCUCAGAGAGGCCCAGCUCAGAGAGGCCCAGCUCAGACAGAUCCAGCUCAGAGAGGCCCAGCUCAGACAGAUCCAGCUCAGAGAGGCCCAGCUCAGAGAGGCCCAGCUCAUGAACUCCAUCUGCAGCAGAUUUUAAUUUGGAAUGGAAAAUGAAUGUGUUUAUAUGACAAAAUGUUAGUGCAAAGAAUAAUUUCCCAUGACUCUUUAAUCAAACUAAAACGUAUUGUUACUGUAUCGUAUUGGAGCGCAUGUAUCAGGAUACGGAACCAAUUAUCUUGAAAGAGAAAAAUGCACAGCCCUAGUGUGUGUGUGUGUGUGUGUGUGUGUGUGUGUGUGUGUGUGUGUGUGUGUGUGUGUGUGUUAAACUGUGUCUGGGGUCUGUGUGUGUCGGCCCACCCGCGUGUUGUUGCGUAAUCACAGAGCAGACUGAUGCUAAAAAUGGCCCUGGAUAAAAGUAUUGUGACCCAGAGCAGGGCUCUCUCUGUGUGUCGG
rnacentral:lncRNA from 1 species